GUCCAGACUCCUACGGGAGGCAGCAGUGGGGAAUAUUGCACAAUGGGGGGAACCCUGAUGCAGCAACGCCGCGUGAAGGAAGAAGGCUUUCGGGUUGUAAACUUCUUUUGUCAGGGACGAAGCAAGUGACGGUAUCUAACGAAUAAGCACCGGCUAACUCCGUGCCAGCAGCCGCGGUAAUACGUAGGGGGCGAGCGUUAUCCGGAUUCAUUGGGCGUAAAGCGCGCGUAGGCGGCCUGUUAGGUCGGGGGUGAAAUCCCGGGGCUCAACUCCGGUCCGCCCCCGAUACCGGCAGGCUUGAGUCUGGUAGGGGAAGGCGGAAUUCCCAGUGUAGCGGUGGAAUGCGCAGAUAUUGGGAAGAACACCGGCGGCGAAGGCGGCCUUCUGGGCCACGACUGACGCUGAGGCGCGAAAGCUAGGGGAGCGAACAGGAUUAGAUACCCCAGUACA
rnacentral:rRNA from 1 species